CAACUCGCCUGUAUGGAGUCGGAAUUGCUAGUAAUCGCGGAUCAGCAUGCCGCGGUGAAUACGUUCCCGGGCCUUGUACACACCGCCCGUCACACCAUGAGAGUCGGGAACACCCGAAGUCCGUAGUCUAACCGCAAGGAGGGCGCGGCCGAAGGUGGGCUUGAUAAUUGGGGUGAAGUCGUAACAAGGUAGC
rnacentral:rRNA from 1 species